rnacentral:lncRNA from 1 species
AGCCAUGCUGUGGAAGCCAUCCCACAUAUGAGGUAGAGGAAGAUGGGCACAGAUGUUAGCUCAGGGCCAGUCUUCCUCAGCAAAAACAGGGGGAUUGGCAGGAGUUAGCUCAGGGCUAAUCUUCCUCAAAAAAAAAAAAAAAGUAGGAGGGAGUAAGGAGAAAUAAACACUCAAACUUCUCUCUCUUCUCAUCCCCUGUUCUCCUGCUACUUUCUUCCAACGGCUUAACCCAACAAAAAUUCAGAGGACAUGGAAGCCUGCGUGAUGAAUUCUAUUUUGGUCAGCUUCUACGGUCACUGGGGAGGAGAGAGAAAGAUGGAUGCAGCAGUUAUGGGCAUCAUCUCCUCUCAAGACCUCAUAAAAGUCAGAAAUUGGGUGAAAACUGGGCUGACAGAUGUGCAGGACGGGUUCAAGGACACACAAGUUGGGGGCACGAUUGGAUCCUAGCUUGCACCCUGAUGCCACUUGUCCUCUUCUGCCAUCUCCUCUGGAAGCUGUGCCCAGGCUUCAGGAAAGAGACUUGGAGGCAGAAUAUCAAUUUCCUAGUCAGGGAGUUUUUGAUUUGGCCGUGAAAUAGAGGCUUGUGCUCCCUCAAUAUCAUUUCUUGACUUUUUUUCUUGUAAUUUUAGGAGUUUUUUUCCCCAAGUCAUCUCCAGACCUGUAAUCUCCCCAACUGCUUGUCCACAAUCACUCCAGCUCUCCACAGGAGGGAAUCAUCUGUGGAGUGGCUGCCAAAAAUCAAGAAUAUUUUUCAUAACAUGCCUCUGUCAGGACAGAGCUCCAGACCCCACGCUCCCCACUCUCCGCCCUCUGCUUUGGAUUCUUACAGCAUCUUUCUCUCUAUACUCGGGUGUCACUCAGUGUUGGAUUUGUGUGCUGUUAGCUUCUUCCUCUCCCCUCCGCCUUCUUCUUUCCUUACUCCCUCCCUCUCCCCGAUAAGCAGACAUU